GGGACGAGGAUAGCGAUGGGAUAUC
rnacentral:miRNA from 1 species